AGAGCGAACGCUGGCGGCAGGCUUAACACAUGCAAGUCGAGCGGAUGUAGCAAUACAUCAGCGGCAGACGGGUGAGUAACACGUGGGAACGUACCUUUUGGUUCGGAACAACACAGGGAAACUUGUGCUAAUACCGGAUAAGCCCUUACGGGGAAAGAUUUAUCGCCGAAAGAUCGGCCCGCGUCUGAUUAGCUAGUUGGUGAGGUAAUGGCUCACCAAGGCGACGAUCAGUAGUUGGUCUGAGAGGAUGAUCAGCCACAUUGGGACUGAGACACGGCCCAAACUCCUACGGGAGGCAGCAGUGGGGAAUAUUGGACAAUGGGCGCAAGCCUGAUCCAGCCAUGCCGCGUGAGUGAUGAAGGCCCUAGGGUUGUAAAGCUCUUUGUGCGGGAAGAUAAUGACGGUACCGCAAGAAUAGCCCCGGCUAACUUCGCGCCAGCAGCCGCGGUAAU
rnacentral:rRNA from 1 species